AACGGCGAGUGAAGAGGGAAGAGCUCAAAUUUGAAAUCUGGCGGCCUUACGGUCGUCCGAGUUGUAAUCUAGAGAAGUGUUUUCCUGCUGGACCGUGUACAAGUCCUUUGGAACAAGGCGUCAUAGAGGGUGAGAAUCCCGUCUACGACACGGACUACCAGUGCUCUGUGAUACACUCUCAACGAGUCGAGUUGUUUGGGAAUGCAGCUCAAAAUGGGUGGUAAAUUCCAUCUAAAGCUAAAUAUGGGCGAAAGACCGAUAGCGAACAAGUACCGUGAGGGAAAGAUGAAAAGCACUUUGGAAAGAGAGUUAAACAGUACGUGAAAUUGUUGAAAGGGAAACGCUUGAAGUCAGUCGCGUCUUCAGAAACUCAGCCGGGCUUCUGCCUGGUGUACUUUUCUGUGGGACGGGCCAGCAUCAGUUUCGGCCGCCAGAAAAAGGUGGGAGGAAGGUGGCACCUCCGGGUGUGUUAUAGCCUCUCAUCGUAUGUGGCGGCGGGGACUGAGGAUCGCAGCACGCCUUCAUGGCCGGGGUUCGCCCACGUAACGUGCUUAGGAUGCUGGCGUAAUGGCUUUAA
rnacentral:rRNA from 1 species